AAAUUGCACUUGCAAUAUUUGCGGUUAGAAAAUGAAGAAACUUCCUUUUUUCUUUAAAUUUUUAUACGUUAGAUCUAGAAACUAGUUUUAAAACUUGAAAUUGAUUACAUUGGAAUUUAAGAGAAACUCAGUUUUUAAGAGGGAUGGUUGAUGAAGUUAGUGGAGUGUACAUUCAUAUAAGUAUAAGUGGGCAUUUAGAAGUUAUGGCGUUUUAAGUUAGGUUGUAAUUAAACCAUUAAGGAACAAACAGUGGAAUAAUGCGUAAAAACUACUUGAAUUCAAUAUUCUUUUACAAUAAUAAAUUUGAAGAUCUGAAAAUUUGAAAUCUUGAAAAUUGAAGAUAUAAAAGAUUUAAAAAUGAAAUAUGUUAACGCAUCCUUGACGUUUGAUAGAUUAAUGGACCUAACCGAUGGUCUGUAAGACCACCCAAUGCGUCCCUGAGAUCACUCCUCACGUGUCAACAACGACGGAACUCGCGAAGCGGAAUAGCACCAGCACCAACAAAAAUUCCACUCCUCGGUGAAUUUCCUGAUUACCUGUCGCACCACUCUAUCCAUACUGUCGGAAGAUAUUCAGAAAACCGAAGCACCGUACGGAAUGCUGAAUUAUAGUGACGUUUUGCGUUAUAGCUGGCUUAUAUAGAGAGCUCGCCUACGCCUACAAAGAUUCAUUUCCUGUCGGGCACGGAUCCUUCUCCAGUACGAGGAUGAUCCGCGUGGAUAUUCCCCCGUGUAUAAAACUGGGGGUCCCUCCUUGUACUCCAGUUCACAUAGGAACGCCAACCGUGUGGAAAGCCCGCGCUUUAUUUCCCAUUGUUUCAGGUGUCUGGCAUGUGCGAUUUUGGGGCGGCGCUACUGUAUGAGAGGAACGCGUCUUCCAGAGCGGAGAAAGCUGAUUACUUCACCGCGUGAGACACAGCCUUCCAGCGGAUCUAACAUCAGGACUAAUUAGCCAAUCGGGCCUUAAUUAAGACACAGGACCAUUGUCCAUCCUCUUAAUCUCGUGGCGUAACACUUCUCUAAAUUUUCUUCCCAUAUCCUCAUACCAUACUAGGGAAUGACGCACAAUUUUAGGUUAUGUUGUUUUAAUACAAGGAGAAGCGGUGAAAUGAUUUCAUUCGUAUUCUAUCUUUGGUAAAUUGAAGGUAUUGUAGUGUCGAGCAUCUGGAAUUUUAAAGAAGUAUGUGCACGCAUCAGGAAAAAGUCGGGGUCGAGGUUGACGUCGCGAACUUGAUCUGAUCUGUACCGGUUUCUUCUAUCGAGUUGAUUUAUGAAAUGAAUUAGAAGGAGAAAAAAUUAGGAGUGACUGAUGGUCGAGGAUUAGAUUGGAAUAUAUGAUGCUGAUGAUCAGUUGGUUAUGAAAGUAGCUAAUUAAGGUAAUUACUGAUAUUUAAAAGAGGUACCAAAUGUCAGUAUAAUAAGCGGUACUAUACUAAUACGACCACCUAUUUUCGAGCGUUAUUUACAAGUCAUGAAUUAAUAAAAUUUAGCUUCAGUUACGUUUAUAGAAAAAUCCAAUACUUAUCAAUAUUUGAAAAAUUUAAAGAUAGAAGAAAUGAAUAGCUGAAGUGCAUAAAUAGAUAAAUGAAUGUGCAAAGUAUGUACUGAUAGUUAACAUUUAUGUGGCCGUAAUCUCGUUUCACCUGUUGCAUUUUUUUAAUUUGAUAUUAGAUUGAUUACCAAUAUUAGAACUAGUCUCUACUGUACUUUAAGAUUAGUAUUACUGUUAAAUAUUAAUAUUAGUAUCAAUAACUAUGUAUGAAUACUAAUGAAAUGCUUUAUAUGUCCAUCUUAUAUACCUGACAGGCCAAAAAAAAAUAUUUUGAUAGAGUGUUUGCUACUCCGUGAAGACAAUCGAAGUUGCGUCAGAGUACAGAGGGAGAUUUAUUUAUUCCAUCGUUGACAGACCGCAACGCAUCUCCGUGAGUGUCCAUAAUCUUGGUCAAUAAUAUUAUACAUGCAACGACGCGUGUCAAGGAAUGGCACGAGCUUGUGUUUAACGCAAAUGUGUAACGCAAACGAACGCUGGAUGGGACAAGAUCGGCACGCGGUCUUAUUUAGAAAGUAUCCUCCGUAUUUGAAUGGCGUGAAAAUUAUCUUUCGAACUGGUCAUUUCACCUAUGCGACUAUGUUAUUACAUUACUGUGAAUAAUCACGUUUCGUAAUUCAUCUCCGUUGAAUCCUGCUUCUUCUAUACCGGUGAAUGAUGACAUUUUAUUUAUCUGGUUCAUUCAAGCAAUAUUUAUAGUCUUGUUUCAGUUUAUCGAGGUUACCAGAAAGAAAAUCUAAUAAUUUAUUAGUAAUAAAUAUGAUGGUACUAAUUUGAGUGAUUUAUGGGAUGCCUCCCAUGGUGGUAUACUCUGAAAGUGCACAUUAUUAACCUAAUUGAAGGGUCGGACAAUGCAGUUCUAUAAAUGGUUGGUCCAACGAAGUAAUAAAUCCACAAUCAUAAUAAUUUUACAUUCUACUAGUUAUACUUAUAAUUUCUAAGGCGUGAAAUUUUACUUGACAUAUGAGUAUGAAUAGAUAAAUAUUGACAAUUUUCUUCUAAAUUAUAGAAUAACAUCGAGAAGUGGUAAUUAAUUAAGUCAUUCACCAGUCAAACAACUGAGAACAGUUUUUCAUGUCCUAGGACCUCUUUGAAGUUAGGCAAACGUAACGAAAUUAAUAAUAAUCGUUAAUCUUGUUUAGGACAAUAGGCGUAAUCAUGAGCUUACGAUCUAAUCUCUCGGAUCAAUGAGUCAAAUAAACCUAAUCAAGACCGGUUUAUUGUUUAUUUAGUGUGCGAAUUCUCACUUUCGAUUCCUUUCGUAACCUUUCCCUGAUUGUUCGCCGUUACGUGAACGGAAACAAUUGCGUUGCGAUAAACACAUACUCCCUCUAGGGACUAUUUGCUUAAUUAACAAUUCUUAGAAGAUUUCGGGGUAAUUCGUGCUCUAGUUACCGAAAAGUUGCCACUUCAUUGUUUCACUGAAAAAUUAUUUGGUCCCACCCUUAUUACGUAACGUACAAAUUUGCAUUAUCUUUGUUAUGAAAUUCUAUAAAAAGAAACAUUACCUUCUGGUAUUAUUAUAAUUUAUAUUUUAUUCUAAUUUAUGGUUAAAAUAACUUAAACUAUUUGAUAUUAUACAUCUUUGUUAUCAUGAUCCCUCGUAGCAUAUAUGUAAUGAAUGAUAGGAAAUUAAUUAUUUAUGAAAAUG